rnacentral:sRNA from 1 species
UUCUAUUCAGAGCAAAGUAAAAAUAUGGACGCCAGGGAAUGCUUGCAUUCACUGGCGUCCAUAUUUUUACUUUGCGAGAACCUUACAUGAGCAAAAGAAAAGCAGCGCAGCUGCGAUUUUGCGAAUGUAAGCUGAAUAGAA